CAAAGUCCCUAGGAUUGUCAUGUUUGGUUGGAGUCCCUAGAGAUCCAAAGACUUCCAUUACUUUCUUCUGAACGGAGUGUUACAGCUGAGAGGCAGGAAUUGUUGGAGAAACUGACUAGGCACUGGAAAUAGUGAAACUAUGAAGGAGGUUCUGUCAAGUGCACAAAGAAAACAAUGUAUUUUCACCUCUGAUCUUAGGUAUUACUUUAAAAAAAUAUAUAUUUUCAUACGCUGACUUUUAAAUGGCUUGUGUUCCUUAAUCAACUUGCAGAGUGACCUUCAUAGAAAUCCGAGAAUGCUUCACCAGAAGCAGCAGAAAUAAGCAAUUUUACUAAAUCAGACUUUUCUCUAAGAUUGAGAUCAUAAAUGUUAAUGGAAUCAAGCCCAGUUUCAGCUAAAGAAUAGUACAGUAGGUACAAUUCUAACAAGCCCCAACCAUAGUCAAAAUGAGAAUUCACAGAACAGAUAAAUUAGCAACAAAAUUCAGGGUGUGGCAAAGGUUGUGCAUUAUGGCACUAUUUUUAUGAGAUAAUAUACUAUAAAGAACAUGAAAUCUUUGAAAUGCAAGCAGUAAACGUUUACUGUAAGACCAUGUGAGCUUAUAAGAGAAUACAAAUAAAAUCAUGUCAGACCAAUUUUCAAAGACCUUUUUGGGACUCUUUAGAUGUUUGUUGUACUUUAAAGCUGGAUGUUCAGUAGACUACACUGACCACUGAAGUUAAAUUUGGCUUGUCUACAUGACAUUCUUGUGCAUGUUUAUGGUAUUUGAAGCUGCUUUGUAAGAGGAACAGUGAUUAACUUACUGAUCACCUUUCCAUUCCAUUUUGUAGAAGAUUUAAAUAAUUCUUUAGAA